rnacentral:rRNA from 1 species
GUACUGAGACACGGACCAGACUCCUACGGGAGGCAGCAGUGGGGAAUAUUGGGCAAUGGAGGAAACUCUGACCCAGCGACGCCGCGUGAGGGAUGAAGGCCUUCGGGUUGUAAACCUCUUUCAGUAGGGAAGAAGCGAAAGUGACGGUACCUACAGAAGAAGCACCGGCUAACUAUGUGCCAGCAGCCGCGGUAAUACAUAGGGUGCAAGCGUUGUCCGGAAUUAUUGGGCGUAAAGAGCUCGUAGGUGGUUCGAUACGUCGGAUGUGAAAAUCAGGGGCUCAACCCCUGACCUGCAUCCGAUACGGUCGAGCUAGAGUUUGGUAGGGGAGACUGGAAUUCCUGGUGUAGCGGUGGAAUGCGCAGAUAUCAGGAGGAACACCGAUGGCGAAGGCAGGUCUCUGGGCCAAUACUGACACUGAGGAGCGAAAGCGUGGGGAGCGAACAGGAUUAGAUACCCUGGUAGUCCACGCCGUAAACGGUGGGCGCUAGUUGUGCGAACCUUCCACGGUUUGUGCGACGCAGCUAACGCAUUAAGCGCCCCGCCUGGGGAGUACGAUCGCAAGAUUAAAACUCAAAGGAAUUGACGG